rnacentral:misc_RNA from 1 species
GAGAACAUGCCCUCACGGGCACAUCUCCCACCCUUUGUUUACCAUAUCUUUGUUGCCUUGGCGGGCAUCUGGCUCACGCCGGCGCCCGCCAGAGGACCCAAACUCUUGUUUUAUGUCGUCUGAGAAAAACUUAAUAGUUAAAACUUUCAACAACGGAUCUCUUGGUUCU